rnacentral:rRNA from 1 species
AAUUCGAUUGAGUUUGAUCAUGGCUCAGGAUGAACGCUAGCGGCAGGCUUAAUACAUGCAAGUCGAGGGGCAGCACAGGUAGCAAUACUGGGUGGCGACCGGCAAACGGGUGCGGAACACGUACAGAACCUUCCUUUAAGUGGGGGAUAGCCCAGAGAAAUUUGGAUUAAUACCCCGUAACAUUAUAGAGUGGCAUCACUUCAUAAUUAUAGAUUUAUCGCUUAGAGAUGGCUGUGCGGCUGAUUAGGUAGUUGGUGUGGGUAACGGCCCACCAAGCCUUCGAUCAGUAACUGGUGUGAGAGCACGACCAGUCACACGGGCACUGAGACACGGGCCCGACUCCUACGGGAGGCAGCAGUAAGGAAUAUUGGUCAAUGGAGGCAACUCUGAGCCAGCCAUGCCGCGUGAAGGAUGAAGGUCCUCUGGAUUGUAAACUUCUUUUAUCUGGGACGAAACACUCUUAUUCUUAAGAGCUUGACGGUACCAGAGGAAUAAGCACCGGCUAACUCCGUGCCAGCAGCCGCGGUAAUACGGAGGGUGCAAGCGUUAUCCGGAUUCACUGGGUUUAAAGGGUGCGUAGGUGGGUCUGAAAGUCAGUGGUGAAAUCUCCGGGCUUAACCUGGAAACUGCCAUUGAUACUUCAGGUCUUGAAUUUUCUGGAGGUAAGCGGAAUAUGUCAUGUAGCGGUGAAAUGCUUAGAUAUGACAUAGAACA